rnacentral:lncRNA from 10 species
CGCGGUCCCGGGCUGGCCGUGGCGCGCGCUUCAAACCCAGCCCUCCCGAGCAGGAAAGGACGGGUGGGUGCAGCUGGAGGAGGAAGCGGUGGAGGAAUUACGCCCCGGCAGCUCCUCUACGGCGGGGAAGCCUGCGGCGUCUGGGCUUCCUGAGACCGUGGGAGGAGGCCUGCGUACUCACGCCAGAGAGCGGGGCAAGCGGUUCUCAGUCGCCGGCUCCCGCCCGCAGUCCCCGGCGAGCGCUCUCCCCUGACUCAGGGACUUUCAUGUGCCCGGCGACACACCAGCAUCCUGCAGUGGGCAACCUCAGCGGACGCUUCCUCGUUUUAGGCAGGAAUCAUCUGGUUUACACCGCGUCAGACUGCCGCCCGCAAUCUCCGUCAUCAAAGCAGGCAACCCUGUAGAGGAUGCCUUUCCCUGGAAUGAUCCGGAAUGGACGACACCUGAGCUCUCUCUGCCAAUCUUAGCAACAUCCAAGGCCAUUAUCCCUUUGAAAACUAUGGCUUCGUUUGGGACAAAAAGGAAGUAACUUACGAAAUGUGACCAGUCAGGUAGUUCCCUACACGAGGCUUCCUGGCCCAAUUUCUGUUGCCAUUAGCUUUUCAUCACCCAAGGCCGCAGGAUUUUCUGACCAGUAAUUUGGAUACCUAUAUUCUUAUACAUGUUGGCGAGGUAGGUGCGCCAUACAGUCUCCACCACAUUCUAGCACAAGCAGUCAUUAAACUUCACUCUAGCAUAAGUUAAGAAUUCAGACUGCAGUGAGAUGGCUAAGAGCAUGAAAGAUCUGCUCGAUUCAAGUGUUAGGAGCUUGAAUAAGUUUCUUAAUUUCUCUGCCUCAUCUAUUAACACAGGACUGACAAUACAGUUUAUAUAGAGUUGUUGCCAGAAUUAAAGGAGUUGAUGUAUGUGAAGCACUUAACUCGGUAACUGGCACAUCGUAGAUGACUCAGUAAAUGCUAUUACCCUUACACAUACAAGUGCCGUUUCAUACUCAGUUUGACUUGGCAAGCCUUUCCCAACCGCUUCAGGUGCCUUCCUGUUUUGUCCUCAAUUACUGUACAAAUAUUUUCUGAGGAUCUGUUACCUGCAUGUGCCAAUUAUGGAAAUAAAAUCUUCUAGUCUUUACUG